rnacentral:rRNA from 1 species
CCUACGGGUGGCAGCAGUAGGGAAUAUUGCACAAUGAGCGAAAGCCUGACGGAGCGACGCCGCGUGAGGGAUGAAGGUCUUCGGAUCGUAAACCGCUGUCAGCAGGGAAGAACGGUUACUGUGCUAAUCAAUAGUAGAUUGACGGUACCUUCUAAGGAAGCGCUGGCUAACUCCGUGCCAGCAGCCGCGGUAAUACAUAGGGUGCGAGCGUUAACCGGAAUUACUGGGCGUAAAGCGGUCGUAGGCGGUAUGUCAAGUCAAGGGUGAAAUCCCCGGGCUCAACUUGCGAACGGCCUUUGAAACUAGCAAACUAGAGUGAGUGAGAGGAUAGCGGAAUUCCAGGUGUAGGAGUGAAAUGCGUAGAUAUAUGGAGGAACAUCAGAGGCGAAGGCGACUAACUGGCACAUAACUGACGCUGAGGAGCGAAAGCGUGGGUAGCAAACAGGAUUAGAUACCCUAGUAGUC